GACGAACGCUGGCGGCGUGCCUAAUACAUGCAAGUCGAACGCUUCUUUCCUCCCGAGUGCUUGCACUCGAUUGGAAAGAGGAGUGGCGGACGGGUGAGUAACACGUGGGUAACCUACCCAUCAGAGGGGGAUAACACUUGGAAACAGGUGCUAAUACCGCAUAACAGUUUAUGCCGCAUGGCAUAAGAGUGCAAGGCGCUUUCGGGUGUCGCUGAUGGAUGGACCCGCGGUGCAUUAGCUAGUUGGUGAGGUAACGGCUCACCAAGGCCACGAUGCGUAGCCGACCUGAGAGGGUGAUCGGCCACACUGGGACUGAGACACGGCCCAGACUCCUACGGGAGGCAGCAGUAGGGAAUCUUCGGCAAUGGACGAAAGUCUGACCGAGCAACGCCGCGUGAGUGAAGAAGGUUUUCGGAUCGUAAAACUCUGUUGUUAGAGAAGAACAAGGACGUUAGUAACUGAACGUCCCCUGACGGUAUCUAACCAGAAAGCCACGGCUAACUACGUG
rnacentral:rRNA from 1 species